rnacentral:rRNA from 1 species
UACAGAGGGUGCGAGCGUUAAUCGGAAUUACUGGGCGUAAAGCGCACGUAGGUGGCGACGUAAGUCGGGUGUGAAAGCCCCGGGCUCAACCUGGGAAUUGCAUUCGAGACUGCAUUGCUGGAGUACGGAAGAGGAGAGUGGAAUUCCCGGUGUAGCGGUGAAAUGCGCAGAUAUCGGGAGGAACACCGAUUGCGAAGGCAGCUCGCUGGGACGUUACUGACGCUGAGACGCGAAAGCGUGGGGAGCAAACAGG